rnacentral:rRNA from 1 species
GAUCCUGGCUCAGGAUGAACGCUAGCGACAGGCUUAACACAUGCAAGUCGAGGGGGCAUCAUGAGGUAGCAAUACCUUGAUGGCGACCGGCGCACGGGUGAGUAACGCGUAUGCAACCUGCCCGAUACCGGGGUAUAGCCCAUGGAAACGUGGAUUAACACCCCAUAGUACUUUUAUCCUGCCUGGGAUGGGAGUUAAAUGUUCAAGGUAUCGGAUGGGCAUGCGUCCUAUUAGUUAGUUGGACGGGG